GCGAACAUCGGGCCAGGGGCUGGGGGAUUAGGAGGGGGGUGAGCGUUGUGCGGAAUUACUGGGCGUAAAUGGCGCGCAGGCGGCCUUACAAGGCAGGCGUGGAAGCCCCGUGCUUAACCUGGGAAUUGCGCUUGGGACUGUGAGGCUUGAGUACGGGAGAGGAGAGUGGAAUUCCCAGUGUAGAGGUGAAAUUCGUAGAUAUUGGGAAGAACACCGGUGGCGAAGGCGGCUCUCUGGACCGUAACUGACGCUGAGGCGCGAAAGCGUGGGGAGCAAACAGGAUUAGAUACCCGAGUAGUC
rnacentral:rRNA from 1 species